GGGGCAAAUAACAAGCUUAAUCGUGCUCGCGAUGGGGCCCAAUAAUCUGGUUGGUUCAAUUCCUUCUAACCUCUACAAUAUGUCAUCCAUCACUGUGCUAUCUGUUUCACAGAAUCAAUUGCAUGGGAAGCUUCCAGCAAAUAUAGGACUCACUCUUCCUAGCCUGCAAAUUUUUGGAAUCGGCAUGAACCAAUUCAGUGGAAGUAUUCCACUUUCAAUGACGAAUGCUUCUCAUCUUGAAAUAGUUGACAUCUCUGCCAACAGUUUCACUGGACAAGUCCCAAUCAAUCUUGGAGAUUUGAAAGGUCUUCAAAGGCUGAACUUGGAACUCAAUUUUCUGGGCAAUAAUUCAAGUAAGGAUUUGGCUUUCUUUACAUCUUUGUCAAACUGCAGCAAUCUCGAAAAUCUAUAUCUUGCUGAAAAUAAUUUUGGUGGUGUAUUACCUAGCACUAUAGUAAAUAUGUCUACCCUUGUCGAUGUAACUUUAGGAACAAACCAAAUGUUUGGUGGAAUUCCAGUAGACAUUGGGA
rnacentral:misc_RNA from 1 species